GAUUUUCGCAAUGCCCGAAAGGGUGACGAAGCGACGCCGCGUGGGUGAGGAAGGCCCUCGGGUUGUAAAGCCCUGUCAGGAGUUAAGAAAUGUAAGUGCGCUAAUAUCGCAUUUAUUUGACGAAGGCUCCAAAGGAAGCCACGGCUAACUUUGUGCCAGCACCCCCGGUAAUACAGAGGUGGCAAGCGUUGUUCGGAAUUAUUGGGCGUAAAGAGCACGUAGGUGGGUUUGUAAGUCAGAUGUGAAAGCCUUCUGUUCAACGGAAGAAUUGCAUCUGAAACUACAAGUCUUGAGUGUAGGAGGGGAGAAUGGAACUUCUGGUGGAGCGGUGAAAUGCGUAGAUAUCAGAAGGAACGCCGGCGGCGAAAGCGAUUCUCUGGCCUAUUACUGCCACUCAGUGUGCGAAAGCUAGGGGAGCAAACGGGAUUAGAUACCCCGGUAGUCCUAGCCGUAAACGAUGGGCCCUAAGUAGAGGGG
rnacentral:rRNA from 1 species